AAAUAAGAAACAAAAUUUGUAAUUAGUUUCGACCUAAUCUUUGAUGUUUACUCAUCCUUAUUUU
rnacentral:tRNA from 1 species